AUAUCUGUGGAAAACGCAUUUGCAUAUAUAUACAAUUUACAUAAAAAUUAACAGAGAAUUUUAUGAUGGUAAUCUAACGUUAGUAUAUCAAUGUGUGUGUGUGUCUUCCUAUACAUUCAUAACCUCCGCUAUUAUACACUGUAUGGGGAGUAAGCACAUGUUCUGAACAAGUGCUGCACAUUAUUAGUAUUAACCAAUCUCUUCUCCGAAUUCCAAAGGGACAUUACAAAAACAAUGUCUUAUUAUUUUAGUUAGUGAAUGUUCUUGAAUGCAUUAACAAUGGAUUCGUCUAACGAAAAUGUUGAAUAUUUAAAAUCCGUUGAAUUUAUGGAUGAAUAUUGUGCAAGUAAUUUUAAUAUAUCACCAAAGAUUAAUGAUAAUUAUCAGUCCAAUCAUCAAUAUGAGAAUUUGAAAAAUAUUCGUGAUAAUUCACCAGAAAAAUGUGUUACGCUGUUUGAUAGUAAUGAUAAAAAUCCGGAAACGAUGUCAGCAUCUCCAAUAUCUAAACGUAAAACGAAAAGAAAAGCUACAAAAAUUAUUGAUGAAGAUAAGGUUAGAGCAAAGAAGGAGGCUACUAGAGAAAAACUUCAAUUGGCUCUGGCAAAAAAACGCAUAAAAAAUAUUCAACCUGGAGAAUGCAUGAGAUUUAUAGAAGCUGAUAUAGAUGAUGAUCUAAAAGAUUGUGAUUUUUUUUCUGAAACAAUAGCAAUGUUGGAGUCUUCAUAUGUUAAAUGUUGUACAAAAUCAUUACCUACUCCAAAUAGUAUAGAAUGGACAAGAAUUACUGAAGAAGAUUCCAUUGAUGAUGAUAAUAAAGUCCAUACAGUGAUAAGAAGAGAACGAGAUAAACAUGUAUUAAUUAUCUGGAGUUGGGAAAAAGUUGUUCAACAUAUACAUGAUGAGUCAUUCGUAGCAGCUGUAACAUCACUAUCUGAUCAAAUGACUGAAAAAAGUCUAAGUCUGAUCAUUUAUGGAAUAAAUGGAUAUUUUGAAUAUCAUAAAAGUAGGAAUAAAAAGAAAAUAUGCAAUAAAAUGUAUGAUAAUAUUAAAAAUUAUCCCAAAAUAUCUAGAAAAGAAUUUGAUAAAUGUCUUGUUAAGAUACAAAUUUUUGUUGAAUGCAAUACUAGACUUAUUGACUCAUCAGUUGAAAUGAGUUUAUUAAUUUAUCAGUAUACUAAAUCAAUCGCUGAGAUUCCAUAUAAACUCAUAACUAGAGAACGAGUAAAUGAACAAUUGAAUUUUUAUGCUGCUGGUGAAAAUAGACAAACUAUUAAAGUUGAUCGAGAUGGCUAUGGAUUGAAGAUGCUUUGGACGAAACAUCUGUGCAGCUUCAAUUCUGUUACUUUACCAAUAGCUCAAUCUAUAUGUGCUGAAUAUCCUAGUCCUCAACAAUUAAUGAGGGCAUAUGAAAACUGCUCCGAAAUGGAAGGAGAACUUCUUUUAAAAGAUAUCAUGAUCAAAAGGGCAGCAGGUCCAUUAACAACAGCUAGGAAGUUGGGGCCAGAGCUGAGUAGAAAAAUAUAUAUCAUGUUUACGUCUACGAACGGAGAUCGGUUAUUAAAUUAAAUCGAAUAUAUUCUGGUAACACUAAUCGUAUUGGAUGAAUCAGCAUUCAUGGCAUGUCUGGUACUCUCCAUAGCUAUAACAAUGGGUUAUGAUACAUUUGAAAUACUUAAGGUUAAUCAAUUAUUAUAUAAAUAACAUACAAAGGAAAGAGUGGAAAAGGAAAUGGGUUCAAAGAUGAAAUUAAUCCGAUACGCCGAAAAAAAAGAUUUAUUUAACACAAAAUAUAAACCUAUGAAGUUUGUUUAAAUACACAGUCAUUCUCUUUUGCUAAGACAACGGUAGCUUAUAGAAAUUAUGUAAUUUAAAAAAAUUGAAUUGAAAAUUUUUUAUCAAAUUACUUUUUUGUAUCUAUAUUUACAGUACUAUAUAU
rnacentral:misc_RNA from 1 species